GUUUUUGGAUCAAAGUCAAUUGAUUCAUUGUUUGCUAGUUAUUGUAUUGGGGUUCGUCUUGAAUUGAUUGUGAUCGGGAUCUUUUUUUUUUUUUUUUGAAAAUUUGAUUUGGGUUGUUGAAGGAAAAAAGGGAUCCAAUCUGUUGUGCAAAUUCCUGGGUUGGGAAAAAAAUAAAAAAUCAUGACAAGAGGUAGAGGAGAUAAAGAAGAUGAUGAGAAGUACAAUGGCUCCACAUUCAAAUAUUUUUAAAUGCUCUAUUUAUUUUUUUCAAAUCCGAAUAUUGGGACUUCAAUAAUUUAAUUACUAUUUAUAGAAAAUUCAGAU
rnacentral:lncRNA from 1 species